UGUACCGAGCUCAGCAGAUCAUCCAGCUCAACAUCCAAGAGCGGAGAACAGCCUUGGGAGUCAUCUUUGCCAGCAGUCUCUUCCUUCUUGCACUGAUGUUCCUGGGGCUUCAGAGACGGCAAGCACCUACAGGACUUGGGCUGCUUCAGGCUGAACGCUGGGAAACCACUUCCUGUGCUGACACACAGAGCUCCCAUCUCCAUGAAGACCGCACAGCGCGUGUAAGCCAGCCCAGCUUACACGCUAAAGUGACGUGAGACUACUAGAAAGAAACGACACCCUUCCCCCCAAGCCCCCCCCAGCUACUCCAACCCAAACAACAACCAAGCCAGUUUAAUGGUAGGAAUUUGUAUUUUUUGCCUUUGUUCAGAAUACAUGACAUUGGUAAAUAUGCCACAUGCC
rnacentral:sRNA from 1 species